rnacentral:piRNA from 1 species
UGAAGUGUGCAGACAGGAAAAUAAUGCC